rnacentral:tRNA from 1 species
GGGGUUGUAGCUCAAUGGUAGAGGACUUGUCUAGCAUGCAUAAGACCUUGGGUUUGAUCCCCAGCACACCCA